rnacentral:lncRNA from 1 species
GGGGUUGUGACCUGUGAAGCUGGAAUCCGGGGAUCUUGGAGAAAGAGGGAGCUGAGGUAUCAGAGAAAGAACGAGAGGAUGGACUCUUCCCAGGCCUCCCCACCACAUGGACACCAUACCAACAUUAGCAGUCACAGAUGCCAGGUGUUUUGCGCAAGCGAUUGAAAGCUGACCAAUACAGGAGUGGAGUGACUUCAUGGGGCGGCUGGAGAGAGAUGAGGAGUGAAUGUCUUCCACACUUGUCAAAUCCACAUCAAUGUUUGGAAAAGCUGGCGUCACAACAGCGCUGACUUUGGAGGAAAGAGAAGGCAAGAAAGAGAAAAAAAGAAGAAGAAAGACCAACCUUAAAAACUUAGGCUACUGACAGUCUUUGUCCAGUGGGCAUCAGGCGAUAAAUACAGAACACUAUUCUAACCAUGUAGUAAGCAUUCAAUAAUUCAUUGAUGGGGACAAGUAUUAGAUCAAUUGUCUUUUAGGCCUCUGGUUGCU